rnacentral:lncRNA from 1 species
AAACAUCUGUUGGAGCUGCGAGUGAGGUUGGAAGUGGUAUUUACCAGCAAGAAGCUGGCACCUCAUCUGUUCAGACCCUGUGCAAAAUAACUCCUGCUCCCUCCCAUGGAAAACAACGUGGAGGAAUCUCUGAGUCAGGAUCUGCCCCAGGCACUGAAAGGCAGCAAACUGCUCACUCUUAGCCAGGCUGUGUGGAUGGACCCACGCUCGUGGUGCAUCUGCCCAGGCUCCAAACGAGGUACAUCCCAUGAAAUCCCAGCUCAGCAAUGGCUGUUUCUAAUAACAGCCUUACAAAAAGUCAGCUGUUCUGCAUCACGCACUCUGGGUUUAGGAACUCAGCUUUUUAAAGCAGAGUUUCAGAAAACAAGAUGGAUUUUUAAAUUUAUUUUUUUUUUAAAGGAGGGAGUUGGACUAAGUGGCAAAGUUCCCAAGUUAUCCAUAGAGCUGUGGUUUCUCCAUUCCCAGAGCUGCCCCAGCAGAAACUACUAG